rnacentral:rRNA from 1 species
AUAUCAAUAAGCGGAGGAAAAGAAACCAACAGGGAUUGCCUCAGUAACGGCGAGUGAAGCGGCAACAGCUCAAAUUUGAAAUCUGGCCCUUUCAGGGUCCGAGUUGUAAUUUGCAGAGGGUGCUUAGGUGGAAGUCCCGGCCCAAGUCCCUUGGAACAGGACGUCAGAGAGGGUGAGAACCCCGUCAGGCCGUUUAUCUAAUCCAUGUGUUGCUCCUUCGACGAGUCGAGUUGUUUGGGAAUGCAGCUCAAAAUGGGUGGUAAAUUCCAUCUAAGGCUAAAUACUGGCCAGAGACCGAUAGCGCACAAGUA